rnacentral:rRNA from 1 species
UACGUAGGUGGCAAGCGUUAUCCGGAUUUAUUGGGCGUAAAGGGAACGCAGGCGGUCUUUUAAGUCUGAUGUGAAAGCCUUCGGCUUAACCGGAGUAGUGCAUUGGAAACUGGGAGACUUGAGUGCAGAAGAGGAGAGUGGAACUCCAUGUGUAGCGGUGAAAUGCGUAGAUAUAUGGAAGAACACCAGUGGCGAAAGCGGCUCUCUGGUCUGUAACUGACGCUGAGGUUCGAAAGCGUGGGGAUCAAACAGG